rnacentral:rRNA from 1 species
GAUGAACGCUGGCGGCGUGCCUAAUACAUGCAAGUCGAGCGAACGGACGAGAAGCUUGCUUCUCUUAUGUUAGCGGCGGACGGGUGAGUAACACGUGGAUAACCUACCUAUAAGACUGGGAUAACUUCGGGAAACCGGAGCUAAUACCGGAUAAUAUUUUUAACCGCAUGGUUCCAAAGUGAAAGACGGUCUUGCUGUCACUUAUAGAUGGAUCCGCGCUGCAUUAGCUAGUUGGUAAGGUAACGGCUUACCAAGGCAACGAUGCAUAGCCGACCUGAGAGGGUGAUCGGCCACACUGGAACUGAGACACGGUCCAGACUCCUACGGGAGGCAGCAGUAGGGAAUCUUCCGCAAUGGGCGAAAGCCUGACGGAGCAACGCCGCGUGAGUGAUGAAGGUCUUCGGAUCGUAAAACUCUGUUAUUAGGGAAGAACAUAUGUGUAAGUAACUGUGCACAUCUUGACGGUACCUAAUCAGAAAGCCACGGCUAACUACGUG